rnacentral:rRNA from 1 species
CUGGAUUACUGGCGAACGGGUGAGUAACACGUGAGCAAUCUGCCCUUGACUCUGGGAUAAGCGUUGGAAACGACGUCUAAUACCGGAUACGACCCUCGGAGGCAUCUCCUGGGGGUGGAAAGAAUUUUGGUCAAGGAUGAGCUCGCGGCCUAUCAGCUAGUUCGUGAGGUAAUGGCUCACCAAGGCGACGACGGGUAGCCGGCCUGAGAGGGUGACCGGCCACACUGGGACUGAUACACGGCCCAGACUCCUACGGGCGGCAGCAGUGGGGAAUAUUGCACAAUGGGCGAAAGCCUGAUGCAGCACCCCCCGUGAGGGAUAACGCCCUUCGGGUUGUAAACUUCCUUUAUUAGGGAAUAACCCAAAUGAUAGUCUCUGCAGAAAAAGCACCGGUUAACUACCUGCCACCCCCCUUGCUUC